UCUGGCCACCCCAUCGUUGCUUGAAGAAAAAAGGAAAAGAAGAAAGCGCGGCCCAAAGUAGGCGAGACGUCACACACCCGUCCGUCUCUGUGUGCGCUUUGGCCCAAUGACAGAUGAAGCGUGUCCUGAAAACAACAUGGCACAGCUUUCCGUGUCUAAACUGGUCAUGGAAAUGCAAAAUGGUGUGGAAAGAGUUGACUCAGGGAAGACUGAAAAUACAAACGGAAAAGCCCAUUAGGUCACUUUUUGAUGGCUGGCCAUUAGCUUUUAAAGACACCCGCGGGCGGCUCAACAGACCCCCGCCAGGUUUUCCCGGCACCGCUCGUAGGCUCCCACCGGUUUGUGUCUCCGGGGAUGCCAUCGCACAAGCUCCAUCGGAGCUCUGACAAAUGCUGAAGUGACAGCAGCCGAAGCCGUCAGGAAGGAACGAAUGCUCAGGGGUGACUCAGAGGACAACCAUCAUCACGUGUCGCCCUGUUUAAGUUGGAUACAACUUGAAAAUAUGAGAAAAUUAAGUUACGUAAAAAGGGUAAGGUUUCAUGCAAAUUCAGAUUUGGGGGGGGGGGUAAAAAUAAUGGAUAGAAAUGGCAGAAAAGAGAAAUUUGCAUGUUAAGCCCAUAGAGCUGCAAAAAUGGGAUGCCACGCAUGCCUGCACAAGAAGUAUCGUGGCAAAAGAAAUAUGGGCAUAGAAAAUUGUAAGAAAAAUAAUAAUGAUAAAUGCAUGUUGCUGUUCUCUUUCCCUUGCUUCACCCCGACCAAGUCCGAUCGAGACAUAUCAACACCUGCCCAUUGCAGUGAGCGGCAUUGCUUUUGGACCCAUCCUUUGUUUGCCCUCCGCCGUUAUUACAUAACACUUACUACAAGUGGAUGCUUUUUCCUCCAUACACUUGCUACAUGUGGCGCUAGAGCAAUGACAUCAUCGGAGGGAGAACAACACUGUUGGCUGCAUCAUCUGUCUGCAUGCGGCCACGUUUAUUGAGAAGUGCCACCACCAUGCAUGCCACGCGACGAGCCUCUCACCUGGACGCACUCUUGGGAUUCUCCACAGCAGGAAACAGACAGGCCCACUGACGUCACCGGGGGGUCCCUUCUCCGCCUCCCAGCCACGGGGUGUCCGCCGGAGCCAGCGGGAGGUUCGUGAUGGCCGCAGCGCCCGCUCUGGGGAAUGUCAUGGCGGUGCACCACCCGAGGCUGAGAGAAGACCCGAGGCCAUCUUAGAGAAAAAGAAAAAGCCUCUUGCAGCCGCUACAUACCAUGACAUGUCUCGGUGUGCCAUGCCUCAUUGUUCUUGGGUGCUGCAAAAGAAAACACAAAUAAGUGAGUUGGAGAACAUUGACAUUAUUCAUGGUCUUUAUGGGGUUGACCAUCACAUCUGCGUUGGUUAUGUACAUCAUUUGAAUUUCAAUUACACCGUUGCAGAGCAUCCCCCCCCCCCCAAUUGGGCAGCAUUGUCUUACCCGCCCAUGUGUUUUCUUUAGUGCUUCUCCUCAAAGGGUGACGGGCGAACCGGAGCCUUCCCCAGCUGACUUUGGACAAGAGGAGCCGAGCUUGGAUCAGUGACGGCGAGUGAAUCUUUCGGUGAACAACUACGCAUUUUGAUUCAGCCGUCAGAGACAAUGCAGUGCGUCUGAAAAGCUCUACCGGACUCGGCCAGACAGGAGGCCAACGUCCGAGACGGGACGGAGAGAACAAGUACAAAUCAGACGGCGCUUCCAAGAUGUAUAGAGAGAGGCAUUCUGUCAUGCUCCAUUGGGAUCCUUCGUCUCGAUCCGGUUGCACAGGCGUCCAAUUGAGUCCGGAUGGAUUUUCGCAAAGCUCUUUUUGAGAGUGCCAGGAACCACGGGAGGAUCAGGACCACCAUCGGCUCGACUGGCGUUGGCCUUCCUUUUAGCCAUACCCUUUCAGAACCAAAUGGCUGCAAAACCCAAUUUGGUUUUAACGUCUGUGCCACGAAGACAUCCACGAAAAGAGCUGUCAGAAGGUAUCAACGCAGUUAUUUAACAAAAGGCCUAAAACUCCUGUCGCGGAUCGCAUUACAAUGUGCAGGUGUAACGCUGAGUGCACAUGGCUGACAUUUCCCUGCACACACAUUCUCGCUGUGACCCUAUUUCAGGUCUCAGUAGGUCAUUUUUCACCAGAUUGGAUUGGUAAAGGCGGGGUGGGGUGGUGAGGGGGGUGUCAGGUGGCAGUAUUCUACUCCCCUGUGUUGUGCUUCUGCUUCCACGCAGCUCGACAAGCGCUCAAGCUUCCUGCCGACUCAGCAUCCCCCGACUACCUCUUUUUCGCUCAUGCCCGACACGUUGCUCAACGCGCAGGAUGUGACGCAAGCGGCUCGAAUGGUUGCAGUGCUGCAAUCGGAAAUUACCACAUGUCCGGUUCUUUUAAUAUUCUGCAUAGAGAGGUUCAACGAAAUAUUUGUGUGAGAAAAAUUCUCGUUUCCCGAAUGCAGAGCGGAAUCUGGCAUUGCUGUAAUUUGGGUGAAACCUGUUCGCACAGGGCAAGUAAAAUGCUCUGUUGAUUCACGAAAACAGAUUUUAAUUUAUUAUUAGAUAUUUUUUUAAUCAAAUGCUCUUCCACGAGAUAGCAAUGAACAUGUGUACCCAAUUUUAGAACCACAUAGAUGUUUGAAUAACUCUCGUUCGUGGCAUGUCGCAAAACUGUCACUCUUGUGAGGACAAACGCUGUACAAGAUGGAUGGAUGGAUCUUUUUUUAAUUUUUUUUUUUAAUAGAGUACGUUUGUAUUUAUUAGACAUAUGUCAGAUUUGACCGCUUACCGAGCCGUAUCUCUAAUUUAUUAAUUUAAGUGAAGCCGGUUUGUGCAGGGAAAGUAAAAAUCCUCAAAUUUCCCAUUUCUUUCUUUUUUUUCAUUUGAUACUGGCAGUACAGACGAUUGAGUCUUUUGAAACUUCACCUGACAGUUUCAUGGCAAGCAACGACCGUCUUGGCUUGAUCGUAAAUUGCCAGAAUAUGAAUUCAUACACAAUAAAAGCAGUGAAAAUGA